rnacentral:lncRNA from 1 species
ACCUUCUCAUGCUUACGCAGCAGGUCAUGCCGCUGCAGGAAGUACUGGUCCUUCAGUUGCUGCUUCACCAGCUGAUGUCGCUCCUGCAACUGGUGCUCCUCCAUCUCCCACAGGGCCGCCUCACGGUCUGUGGAGGACACGCCACCCACACGAUCUCACGCCUGUUUUCCGUGGUGAGCUUCCUCAUGGCCAGCUCCAGGUCCUCCUUCUGCUUGGCUACAAAGUCCCGGUCCUGUGAGGAGGGAUGACGAGGCUUUACACAGAUGACUUGGGGGACGACAGCUUUCUCCCUGUCUCUGUGAAGGUGAGACACCUUCUGCCUCUCUCACCAGCCUUGGUCUGUACAUUUCCACUGUUUACUUUGUGGGUGAGAGUGUUUGCUGGCGGGCAUGCAUGUAUCACACGUGCCUGCGGAGGCCUGAAGAGGGCACUGGAUCUCCUGGAAAUGGAGCUAUAGGUGGCUGUGAACUGCAAAACAUGGUUGCUGGGAACCAAACCCAGAUCUCCUGUAAAGAGCAGACAAUGCUCUAAACCACCAAGCCAUCUCUCCAGCCCCUAGCCCUGUGUUUUAAAAAGUUACCUGCUCAUAAUAACAGGUGCAGCGCACCAUUUCAGUACACGAUUACCUUAUGUACUGAUGGGUCCAGGGGACCUGUCACCUCAGAUAUCUAUCCCUUUGUGGUAAACUAUUAAAGAUCCUCUUCUUACCGUGCUGAGAAAUGCACAUUACGAUUGGGUAUGGGCACUUCUGUGCUACUGAACUUAAAAGCUAGUUUCUUCUAAUAAUAACCAACCUUGCCCAGAGGAAAGGGACAGGCUGUGAGGUACUCAGAAAAGGAUGGGAAGUCUGCAGUCAGAUCAAGGACUAGGCCUUGCCCCGCUGCCAUCAGCUCUGCAGCGUCACCUUUCUGAGCUGAUUUCCUCUGCAAAUGGAAAACCAAAUAACUCCAACCCCAAGGGACCACAAACACUGGACCAGAUCAUGUGUCAAGCACCUGGAAAACUCCGGCUCCGACUCCUGCACCCAGGGCCGAGGAAGCAGAAAGUGCAAAGACCCCACAGUGAGGAAAACAGGAGGAUACAGCAAGGGGAGAAGCUAGCCUGAGGGCGAAGGCCAAGCUGGGAGGGACCAACAGGCCAGGCAGCAGCAGGCACAGCAAGGAGCUGGCCCUUUGCUUACAAACAAGAUGAGAGCGACAUCGGAGGGUUUGAAGGCCCAGAGCUGAGGGGAGAAAGGGUGACAGAGGUAGAUUUGGAUUUCAUGUCGACAGUACCAGCUGGCUCCGAGAAAAAGAAGUGCAGGGGACAGGAAGAAGGAGGGAAACCAGCUCUGAAGCCAGGAGAGCUGUAACAAAGGUGGGACCCAGCAACACUGACAGAUGCACAGGCAUAAAGAUUAGAGAAAUAUGGGUGGAUGGAAAUGUGUGUGUGCGUGUGUGUUUAGUAUGCAUUUAUGUUGUAUGUUAUAUGUCAAGGUAUGUGUGUUGGAUGUGUAUAGUGUAUUAUAUUGAGGGCAUGUGUCAUGUGUGUGUUGUGUGUAUCUCUGGUGUAGUAUAUAUCUUUAGUGUGUGUUUAACAUGUAUGUAUGUUAUAUGUUAUGUGUUGGGGUAUGUGUUAUAUGUAGUAGAGAAUGUGUUAUGUAUAUGUCUGGCAUGUGUAUGUGGUGUAUAUCUGAAGUGUGUGUUUAGCAUGUAUGUAUGUUAUGUGUUGAGGUAUGUGUGUUAAUGUGUGAAGGAGUAUAUGUAUUGUGUUUUGUUGUGUGUAUGUCUGGCAUGUAUGUGUGUGUGUGUGUGCUGUAUGUCAGGAAAAGAUGAAGGAGUGGAGGGAAAGCCGGGUCAGGAAUGACAAAGGUCCUGGCCUGCCAACAGGACAGAAGCAAGCUCCUCCUCAGGACAUAAGAAUAGAGCCAGGUCUGAGAGAUCAAGACUUUGAUGUCUUUUAGACACCAAGGCAGGCAGGUGACCGAUCUGGGCUGACAGGAGAUGUGACAUAUGAACAAUCUUGCAGUGAGGCGGGCAGGACUAGGAUGCAGGCUGCAGCAGCUACUGAGCGAUGGGCUAGAUUUAGGCAUUUAAAACAGGAAGCAGAUAUUCAGGCAGCAGGCCUGGGCAGCUUAAAAGAAGGGGCCAGCUGCCAUUUGGGUUCUCACAGCUGAGUGCUGGAGGCUGGAGACUCACCAGCCGCUGUUUCUUCUGAGAGUGUUCCUCCAUCUUCUGCUUCAUGCUCUCCUUCCGCUGCUGCCGGGGCAGUUUCUCAACCUCACUCUUCACCUGCAGCAGAUAUGGCAGAGGAUAUGGCUCGCACCAUGGCUCUUCAUUCCCUGGCUGCAUUACAACCCUAGUCUUCUCAAUGCAUGAAAUACCAGUUGUGCAGAUAUGCUGUCAAUACCUAAGGUCUCUGGGGUCACUAUCAAUUUCAGUUCCUACGGUGUUUCUGCUUCUGCAGGAUCCCUGCCUCUCUGCUGAGAUGUUUUAGUGCAGGUGAGUGGACUCCCUCCUGUUUCUGGCCAGAGAAUCAGGAAAAGGAAAUCCUUAGUUUCUAGGAAUGAACCCCGCAAAGGCAUCAGGGUCAGCCGUGCCUCCAGCCUCACCAGGACAGAUCAAGACCACUUCAGAAAGGCUGUGAGAAACAAAGCCUCUGACACAGAAGGCAAGUUCUGUCUUAAACGACGCUAACAGGCCUGGGUACUUAUGGAAACAAAAAGAAAUGUAUAGGGUCUCAAGACUUCUGUAACUUCACUGUGGCAUUACACAUUCUAAAUAGAUACUGAAUGACAAAAGUGUGCAUAUUGCAUUACAGGCUGAGAGAAAGCACUAAGCAUAAUACUCAAAUAGGCAAAUAUUUAAACCAAGUAAUGAAUUAAAGUGGAGUAGUAAAAAUAGUCAAAUACUCCAAACAAUAGGCAAGAAAUAGGAAAAUAGAGAAACAAAAACUAGAGGAACAAGCAGGAAACAAUCCCUUAAAUGUAAAUGGCAGAAACACUCCAACUAAAACAACAGAGACCUGCAGGUUGCAGUCCAACUAUAUAUAGUCAACAAGAGACCAAUGUUACUCAACAAGUUAGAA